GAUGAACGCUGGCGGCGUGCCUAAUACAUGCAAGUCGAGCGAACAGACGAGGAGCUUGCUCCUCUGACGUUAGCGGCGGACGGGUGAGUAACACGUGGAUAACCUACCUAUAAGACUGGGAUAACUUCGGGAAACCGGAGCUAAUACCGGAUAAUAUAUUGAACCGCAUGGUUCAAUAGUGAAAGACGGUUUUGCUGUCACUUAUAGAUGGAUCCGCGCCGCAUUAGCUAGUUGGUAAGGUAACGGCUUACCAAGGCAACGAUGCGUAGCCGACCUGAGAGUGUGAUCGGCCACACUGGAACUGAGACACGGUCCAGACUCCUACGGGAGGCAGCAGUAGGGAAUCUUCCGCAAUGGGCGAAAGCCUGACGGAGCAACGCCGCGCGAGUGAUGAAGGUCUUCGGAUCGUAAAACUCUGUUAUUAGGGAAGAACAAAUGUGUAAGUAACUAUGCACGUCUUGACGGUACCUAAUCAGAAAGCCACGGCUAACUACGUG
rnacentral:rRNA from 1 species